rnacentral:snoRNA from 1 species
GGGGCCUGGCCUGUGCGUAACUCUAACAGCGGAGAAGGCAGGCACACAGCAACCUCCCUCUCCAUUUAGGAGGGCCAUCCUAAGCAUAUGGAUAGCUCUUAAGGCAUGAGAAGACAAU